CUCCCAAUAAAUCUUACCAUAAUUAACAACCACGACUCAUAGUUGUUAGGAUAACAAACAUCAUUGAAUUCUCAUUAAUAGGAUUUACUAACAUAAAAAAAAUUUAAAGAAAAAUAAAUAAAUAUUCAGUAGUUCAACCCGAAGAACAGCAAAUGCAACCGAUUUGACAACUAGUAAUAUCGACGAUUGGUGUUGAUAGCAUUUUUU
rnacentral:lncRNA from 1 species